rnacentral:misc_RNA from 1 species
GUCACGCCCGAAGUCGUUACUCCAACCCUCGGGAGGAGGACGCCGAAGGCAGGGCUGAUGACUGGGGUGAAGUCGUAACAAGGUAGCCGUACCGGAAGGUGUGGCUGGAUCACCUCCUUUUAGGGAGACCUACCCACUUUAGAGUCGAACGCACAGUGCAAAUAGAUUCAAAGUCGGUCAUCCCAAGGUCGUUCGGAUUGCAGAUGGGCUUCCAAACUAUACUGGUUCGGUUUAUGGGCUAUUAGCUCAGGUGGUUAG